UACGAAGGGGGCUAGCGUUGUUCGGAAUUACUGGGCGUAAAGCGCACGUAGGCGGAUAUUUAAGUCAGGGGUGAAAUCCCAGAGCUCAACUCUGGAACUGCCUUUGAUACUGGGUAUCUUGAGUAUGGAAGAGGUAAGUGGAAUUGCGAGUGUAGAGGUGAAAUUCGUAGAUAUCAAGAGGAACACCUGCGGCGAAGGCGGGUUGCUGGGCCGACACUGACGCUGAGGCGCGAAAGCUAGGGGAGCGAACGGG
rnacentral:rRNA from 1 species